UGCCCUUCACUCUGGGAUAACUGCGGGAAACUGUAGCUAAUACCGGAUAUGAGGAUCUGAGGCAUCUCGGAUCUUGGAAAGAAUUUCGGUGAAGGAUGGGCUCGCGGCCUAUCAGCUUGUUGGUGAGGUAAAGGCUCACCAAGGCGACGACGGGUAGCCGGCCUGAGAGGGUGACCGGCCACACUGGAACUGAGACACGGUCCAGACUCCUACGGGAGGCAGCAGUGGGGAAUAUUGCACAAUGGGCGCAAGCCUGAUGCAGCAACGCCGCGUGAGGGAUGAAGGCCUUCGGGUUGUAAACCUCUUUUAGCAGGGAAGAAGCGAAAGUGACGGUACCUGCAGAAAAAGCACCGGCUAACUACGUGCCAGCAGCCGCGGUAAUACGUAGGGUGCAAGCGUUGUCCGGAAUUAUUGGGCGUAAAGAGCUCGUAGGCGGUUUGUCGCGUCUGCUGUGAAAACUGGAAGCUCAACUUCCAGCCUGCAGUGGGUACGGGCAAACUAGAGUGCGGUAGGGGAGAACGGAAUUCCUGGUGUAGCGGUGGAAUGCGCAGAUAUCAGGAGGAACACCGAUGGCGAAGGCAGUUCUCUGGGCCGUUACUGACGCUGAGGAGCGAAAGCGUGGGGAGCGAACAGGAUUAGAUACCCUGGUAGUCCACGCCGUAAACGGUGGGUGCUAGCUGUGGGCCACAUUCCACGUGGUCCGUGACGAAGUUAACACAUUAAGCACCCCGCCUGGGGAGUACGGCCGCAAGGCUAAAACUCAAAGGAAUUGACGGGGGCCCGCACAAGCGGCGGAGCAUGCGGAUUAAUUCGAUGCAACGCGAAGAACCUUACCAAGGCUUGACAUAUAGAGGAAAAGUGCAGAAAU
rnacentral:rRNA from 1 species